UACGUAGGGUGCAAGCGUUAAUCGGAAUUACUGGGCGUAAAGCGUGCGCAGGCGGCUUUGUAAGUCUGUCGUGAAAUCCCCGGGCUCAACCUGGGAAUUGCGAUGGAGACUGCAAGGCUAGAAUCUGGCAGAGGGGGGUAGAAUUCCACGUGUAGCAGUGAAAUGCGUAGAGAUGUGGAGGAACACCGAUGGCGAAGGCAGCCCCCUGGGUCAAGAUUGACGCUCAUGCACGAAAGCGUGGGGAGCAAACAGG
rnacentral:rRNA from 1 species